rnacentral:lncRNA from 1 species
CAAAAUGGCUUGUCCUCUACUAAUUUGUCUUGUUUUGUUUAUAGAAGUGAAGUUUCUCUAAGACAUUCUUUGUUUUUCAAUAUGGAAAGAAACUAUUUAAGGUUCUCCAGAGCACCAGAGAGACUGUCCUCCCACAAAGAAGCCCUGAGUAUUAAUCUUGCAUUUAUCAUGUAGAAAUGGUCUUCGACAAAUUAAUUCCAGUGCAUCUUGCUCUGGCAUCUUAGGGUGAAUACAUGGCAGUCUGCUCCGCCAGAGAUUACCACGCAGAAGUGGCAGAUCAAGGUCUUGCUAUUCUAAGUCUGGCUGUGUUUGGCCAACUUUCAGCCUGUCAUGUUUUCAUUAGCUUGGGUACAAGCUCUUAG